CGUGUAGGCGGUCGGUUAAGUCUGAUGUGAAACGCCCGAGGCUCAGCUUCGGAAGUGCAUCGGAAACUAGCCGGCUGGAGCGCGAUAGAGGAGGGUGGAAUUCCUGGUGUAGCGGUGAAAUGCGUAGAUAUCAGGAGGAACACCGGCGGCGAAGGCGGCCCUCUGGAUCGUUGCUGACGCUGAGACGCGAAAGCGUGGGAGCAAACAGGAUUAGAUACCCUGGUAGUCCACGCUGUAAACUAUGGGUACUAGGUGUUCGGGGUAUUGACCCCCUGAGUGCCGCAGUUAACGCAUUAAGUACCCCGCCUGGGGACUACGGCCGCAAGGUUAAA
rnacentral:rRNA from 1 species